GAAGCAUAAUAACACUUAGCAGUCAGUUAACGACGCUAGGUCAGCGCUAACGGAUGUGUCCUGCUUGAGUAGAGGAGAAGGCAAGAAACGUCAGACAAAAAAAAUAACGAAAUAACGCGAGAGCGAAAAACAAUCUCAUUGGCGGAAGGAAGUGUUAGUAGGCCGUGUGCGUCGUUUUGUGUUGCGUUGUAUCACGAAGAGAUCGCGCGCGCCUGGACCUUACGCAAAAGGAUAGGAUAGUUCAACUGUCAAAGCACGCCCUGGACAGUAGUAGGCCGUGGAGCGAGCGCGUGUGUAAUCAUAUGUGAGGAGACUCAUCAUUCCCGAACGACCGUGGUAACCGAUCGAACGUGUGUGUUGGUGUUCCCGUCGCGGAAUUAUUAUUAGUGCUCGGCCGUGUGCCGUUAAUUACCGAUAAUGAGAUAAAAGCGUCGCACCUCUUCCGUGUCAAAUCGAAGAACCUGGCGACACAAGAAGAGUCCAACUCGGAGCAGCAGCAGGUUGUCGCCGAUGACAAAUGGCCUGUUGGUCGUGGUCGUUUCCCGCGCGCACAAUGUCAUGUUUGCUGUGAAAUGUGAAUUUAUGGUGGUGCAUUCGAGAAACGUGAGCCGGUUCGUUAAUGAGCAAGCGUUGAUUUUUUGAGGUGUGUUCGAAACGUAGCAAGCCGAUUGAUCUGGAAGAACCCACUGAUCUAGUUUUUUUGUGAAGAUUCCAAGGACUACGUGAUGAGUGCGAAAACAUGAAAACAUUUUUUCUGUGAAAAGUGAAUCGAGCAAAAUUUGUGCGACACGAUCGUGCGUGUUAAUUGGUGUAACUGUUUCUUGUUUUAGUGAGACUAACUAAGGCUUCACGGUUUGAGGCGAGCAGAAGCAGAAAAAGUGUUGUGUCAGGUGUUGUCACUUGAUCCGGCGAAUUUCGAGCGCGCGAUAGAGAAGGCCCCAGUUGACGUCGACGCCUACGCACAACAGGUUGGUUUUAAGUGCGCGCGAAAGUGUGAUCCAAGCAAGCCAAAACAUUCCAAAAAGACAAACAAAAACAAACACACCAUGAACUGUCAUUGUUGCGUGAGUUGUCCUUGUUGAGCGGGUUGGAAAUGGCAGAAGGAGCACCACCACCACCACAGCCACCACUACUGGAAACGCUAGAAAACAAUAACAACAACCACCAAAACAACAACAACAAUCAUAUCAACACCACCGCCACCAGCAACAACAACAACAACAACCAUCACAGUAAGCUGUGUGGAAUGCUCGGUAUCAACAUGCCCUGUGAAGCGGCAGGCCAUGAUUUUAGUACCGUCGUCCGGAAAGAGCUAGAGUACGCCAACUCGAUUGCAUCGCACUACGGAGCCGCGGUGGCCGCCGCCGCCGGGUUGGACAAAAGUGCAGCAGCAGCAGCCGCUACUGUUCCGCUGGAACUUCAGCAACAACAGCAGCAACAUCAGCGAGGAGCCAGCAGCUUCAAGAUUGAGGACCGUGAAAGAAGUGAUAAUUGCAGCCGAUCAAACAGUCCGGUCGUGCUGGACGAGCUGAACCGGUGUGCCGCCACUACGAAGGUGGCCGCCGCCCUCCGCAGCCGGGAGAAAAUGUCCCCGCUGUCCCUGCCAACCCCGGGCGGUUCGCCGAGUUCGGCCGCGGCCGCUGCCGCUGCUGCAGCCGCCGCCUCCGCCCAACUGCACCUAAACGGAACCAUGCAAGACAUGCUGAAUCUGCAGAAGCUCCAAAGUCUCGCCCAGCUGACCAGUCUGCCCGGGUUGGGACUGCCGACGGGGGGCAUUCCGUCGGCACUGUUGGCCAACAACUCGCCGCUGAAUCUCAGCCUCGGAGCGCAAGCUCAUUCGCUCGCGGCGGCGGCCACUCCACAGCCCCUGCCGGCGGCCGCUGCCGCGCAGAUGCCACAGUUGAUACUGGCCUCGGGGCAGAUUGUGCAGGGCAUCCAGGGAGCCCAGCUGUUGAUACCGACGUCGCAAGGAAUCGCCACCCAAACCAUCCUGACGAUUCCCGUGGGGCAACAGGUGAUUUCCAGCGCGAGCAGCAGCGACAAUUUAUUGCAGUGUUUAAAUUUUAAUACCGUCGCUGCCGCAGCCGCCGCCGCCAGUUCCAGCUCGUCCUCGUUUGGUGAUCUGGUUGUGGGUGGUGGCCAUCAGAACCAUCAACAGCAUCAGCAGCAGCAUCCCGCGCUCAACCAUCACCAUCUGCCGGGGUUGAACCACUUGAACCAUCACCAUCUGAACCACCUGAACCAGCAAUCGCCAAAUGCCGCAAUCGCGAGCCAACAGCUGUUGACGAAUCCACUGGCGUUGGCCGCAGCCGCAGCCGCCAGCAGUAACCACUUGAACCACCUGAACCACCUGAAUCAGCAACAUCAGCAAAACCAGCAUCUCCAGCAACAGCAGCAGCAGCAUCACCACCAGCAACAACAACAACAGGCCAAACAGCAACUCCAGCAGCACUUUGCCGACAAGGUCAAAAACUUGUCCACGCACGAAAAAACGCCCUCGGAACGGUCCACGCCGGAGAUGCGCAUCAAGCUGGAAUCGCCAAAGGUCGCUUCCCCGUCGAGGUCACACCAAUCAAGUCAGCAGCAGCAGCAACUUAAACGGAGCAGCAUGUCCCCGGCAGGGAUUGCACCGUGCUCGGGAAGUAACGGAAGCAUCACUGGGGCAAGUGGCGCCAGCAGCAAUGGCAGUGGUGGGGCGAGUAAUAGUGCAGGGGGAGGAGGAGGAGGAGGGCCGUCGUCGAAUGUGGGGUUGAUACAGGUCAGAAACUUGACCAGUCCACAGCAUCAGAUGCAGCAAAUUCAGCUUCAGCAGCAGCAGCUUUCGCCCGCGGACGGGGCCAUCAGUAGGAUAACUACAUCGAACGGUGAAAUAACCGUCACGAAAUCUCAACCUCCUCAAACCCCACCUCUUCACCCCUCGUGCUCGUCCUCUUCAUCUUCUUCCUCCUCAUCAUCCUCCUCGUCAUGCUCAGUACAAAAAACGCAUCCCUCCUCGAUGCACUUCAAUCCAUCCAUUUCACCCCAACAUCCCCUGCACCACCCUUCCCACCUCCACAACCUCUCCCUCCAUCCAUCAUCAAGUCGAGAUCAACAGCAACAUCAGCAACAACAACAACUCUUGGUGCCAUCAUCGUCGUCAUCGCUGACCUCGACCACGGUCACAGCAUCCGGAUCAUCCGGUUUGUCUACCACCGGUCCAGAUCACCUGCAGCAACUCCAGCACCAACAACAACACAAACCGUCCACGUCGACCACGUGUUCACCGUCCACAUCCGGCACCACUCCGGGAAUCAUCUCCCUCACGAUGGACGACGUAGAGCAGAAGAUUUCCCCCCACGCCCUGCACCCCCUUCCUUCGACAUCCUCGUCUUCUUCCGCGGGGACCUCUCUCAAGCGGCACCGGAGUUUGACGCCACCGCCGAGGAAGCUUAGCCCGGGAGGGUCUUCCGUUCAUCAGUUGUCCCUCCACGAGGAGGAUGGUGACGAUGAGGACGGUGGGCGGGAUUGCGACCGGGAGCGGGACUGCGACGAGGACGGGCAGUCCACGGCGAAUGAGCUCGAAGAUUCUCCAAGUAAGCCCCCGAAGACGAGCUCACCAUCAACCAGACCAACUGCAACGUGGUGGACGGCAUCGACCUGGACGACAUCAAGGAGUUCGCCAAGGCGUUCAAGCUGCGCCGCCUUUCGCUGGGCCUGACGCAAACCCAAGUAGGCCAGGCGCUGUCCGUCACCGAGGGACCCGCUUACAGCCAAAGUGCCAUCUGCAGUGCCCUCGCCGCCCAGAUGUACUGCGCCGCCCAGCUUUCGUCCCAGCAGCAGCAAAUGUUUGAAAAGUUAGACAUAACCCCCAAAAGUGCACAAAAGAUCAAACCCGUGCUGGAGCGCUGGAUGAAGGAGGCUGAAGAAAG
rnacentral:misc_RNA from 1 species